rnacentral:rRNA from 1 species
AGAGUUUGAUCCUGGCUCAGAACGAACGCUGGCGGCAGGCCUAACACAUGCAAGUCGAGCGCCCCGCAAGGGGAGCGGCGCACGGGUGAGUAACGCGUGGGAAUAUGCCCUGGGGCUGGGGAUAACGGCGGGAAACUGCCGCUAAUACCCGGUACGCCUUGAGAGGGAAAGGAGCAAUCCGCCCUGGGAGUAGCCCGCGUUGGAUUAGCUAGUUGGUGAGGUAAGAGCUCACCAAGGCGACGAUCCAUAGCUGGUCUGAGAGGAUGAUCAGCCACACUGGGACUGAGACACGGCCCAGACUCCUACGGGAGGCAGCAGUGGGGAAUAUUGGACAAUGGGGGCAACCCUGAUCCAGCCAUGCCGCGUGAGUGAAGAAGGCCUUAGGGUUGUAAAGCUCUUUCGGCGGGGACGAUGA